rnacentral:ncRNA from 2 species
ACUAAAUAUAUAUUUCAUGGUGUCGCUGAUGUUGAAUCAGCGGCUUAAAAGGGAAGUCAGGUGUAAAGCCGACACGGUCCCGCCACUGUAACAAGGAGUGCAGGUAGUAAAAUGCCACUGUUUCAUAUUGAGAUGGGAAGGUAUAGCUGCACAAUGAUUUGGAGUCAGGAGACCUGCCAUGAAUUGUAAUACCGA